rnacentral:tRNA from 1 species
UCCCAGGUGGCCUAGUGGUUAGGAUUUGGUAUUGUCACUCCUGGGGCUCGGGUUUGAUCCCUGACCUGGGAA